CAAAUUAGAGCUUGUAUUAAGUAUUUCAUUUACAUUGAAAAGAAAUUAUAAAAUAUAAUUAAUUUGAUGUUUGA
rnacentral:tRNA from 1 species